CAAUAGCGUAUAUUAAAGUUGUUGCGGUAAAAAAGCUCGUAGUUGGAUUUCUACCGAAGAUAGCCGGUCGGGUCUUCGACCUUGUAUCUGGUUUUGUCUUUGGUAUCCUCAUAGGGAACGUUUCUGCGCUUUAUUGCGUGGUGCGGUAUCUAUGACUUUUACUUUGAGGAAAUUAGAGUGUUCACGGCAGGCAAACGCCUUGAAUAUAUUAGCAUGGAAUAAUAACAUAGGAUCCUCGUCCUAUUUUGUUGGUUUCUAGGGCUAAGAUAAUGAUUAAUAGGGAUAAUUGGGGGCAUCUGUAUCAACGCGUCAGAGGUGGAAUUCUUGGAUUGCGUUGCGACAAACUACUGCGAAAGCAUUUGCCAAGGAUGUUUUCAUUGA
rnacentral:rRNA from 1 species